UUACCCAGGGAAGUAGUGACAAUUAAUUACCAUGCCCGGCCUUUUUGAGUCUGGCAAUUGGAAUGAGAACAAUCUAAAUCCCUUAUCGAGUAUCAAUUGGAGGGCAAGUCUGGUGCCAGCAGCCGCGGUAAUUCCAGCUCCAAUAGCGUAUACUAAAGUUGUUGCGGUUAAAAAGCUCGUAGUUGGAUCUUGGAGCAUGUCGAACGGUCGUGCCUCUGGUAUGAACUGCUCGACGUGUUCUUCUAUUUGGUUGCGCGUGUGUGUUCUCUUAAUUGAGUGCCGCACUCGACCGAAACGUUUACCUUGAAAAAAUUAGAGUGUUCAAAGCAGACCUGUUUGUGUCUGAAUAUUCGUGCAUGGAAUAAUGAAAUAUGAACUCGGUUCUAUUUUGUUGGUUUUCGGAACUCGAGUUAAUGAUUAAGAGGGACGGACGGGGGUAUUAGUACUCUGCCGUUAGAGGUGAAAUUCUUGGAUCGGCGGAAGACUAACAACUGCGAAAGCAUUUGCCAAGAAUGUUUUCUUUAAUCAAGAACGAUAGUCGGAGGUUCGAAGACGAUCAGAUGCCGUCCUAGUUUCGACUGUAAACUAUGCCAGCUAACGAUCAGACAGCGUUCUCUACGACUUGUCUGGCAGUUUCCGGGAAACCAAAGCUUUUGGGUUCCGGGGGAAGUAUGGUUGCAAAGCUGAAACUUAAAGGAAUUGACGGAAGGGCACCACCAGGAGUGGAGCCUG
rnacentral:rRNA from 1 species